rnacentral:rRNA from 1 species
UACGGAGGGUGCAAACGUUGCUCGGAAUCAUUGGGCGUAAAGCGCACGUAGGCGGCCUGUUAAGUCGGGUGUGAAAGCCCUCGGCUCAACCGAGGAAGUGCAUUCGAAACUGGCAGGCUUGAGUAUGGAAGAGGGUCGCGGAAUUCCCGGUGUAGAGGUGAAAUUCGUAGAUAUCAGGAAGAACACCCGUGGCGAAGGCGGCUCUCUGGAACGCAACUGACGCUGAGACGCGAAAGCGUGGGGAGCAAACAGG